rnacentral:rRNA from 1 species
AGCAGCCGCGGUAAUUCCAGCUCCAAUAGCGUAUAUUAAAGUUGUUGCAGUUAAAAAGCUCGUAGUUGAAUUUCGGGAUCAAAUUGUCGGUCGUGCCUCGGUACGUACUGGCGUUAUUGGUUCCUCCCUUCUGAAGAACCGCGAUGUCAUUAAUUUGGUGUCGCGGGGAAUCAGGACUGUUACUUUGAAAAAAUUAGAGUGUUUAAAGCAGGCUCGCGCUUGAAUACAUUAGCAUGGAAUAAUGAAAUAGGACGUUUGAUUCUAUUUUGUUGGUUUCUAGGAUCGACGUAAUGAUUAAUAGGGAUAGUUGGGGGGCAUUAGUAUUCAAUUGUCAGAGGUGAAAUUCUUGGAUUUAUUGAAGACUAACUACUGCGAAAGCAUUUUGCCAAGGAUGUUUUUCAUUAAUCAAGAACGAAAGUUAGGGGAUCGAAGACGAUCAGAUACCGUCGUAGUCUUAACCAUAAACUAUGCCGACUAGGGAUCGGAUGAUGUUAAUUUUUUUAAUGACUCAUUCGGCGCC